rnacentral:lncRNA from 1 species
CAGCCUUGAACACUUGCUUUUCUUGCUGAAUAGCAACCCAAGUGGGACAAUAUUUUUGUUAUCAAACUUUCAAAGAAAGUUAAAUAGCAGCCAGGAUGGAAAAUUACUGUGGCUGAAGCCCACUGUCUCAUGACCAUAUAAACAGUGGUGCAAAGUGAGAGCCUUGGGGCUCUCCUGGACUGCAGCAGGCUGAGAACAGCCCCUCUCUCUGAGUGGGGCCUCUCAGAGCAAAAGAGCUCUCAACGUGGCUGUUCCUGCAGGACCAUCCCCAAACCACGGCACAGAGCCUGGGCUGAUACCCCCACUCCUGGGGGCUCAACCCUGAGGAGAUGCAAAGACAUCCCAUGUGAACUCAAGGGAAUUUUCACAGGGAUGGUCAAUAUAUCACUGUCAUUAGUUGUUUCUGAUGUAGAGAAGUGCUGUAGCCCUGUGGAGAACAUUUUGUCUGCUCAGCUCAAGGGCAGAGCGCUUCAGAUGCAUCUAAUUUCCUAGGUAUGCUUCAGCAUGGAAACCCUGAGAAUUCAUUUACAUCUUCAAUAUGUGCACUAGCAAGUGCAAAACUUUGAUUUGAAUUAAGUUGCAAGUGUGUAAUUGUUAGAAGCCUGUCACACAAUGUCAGAUCAGUGAUCCUCCUGUCUCUGGAAGUAACUCCAAACUUCAAAAGACAGAAUAAGAAAAUGUAAAGGAGGUAGGUGUAAAGGUGUGUGUCAGCUCAAUAGCUGUGGGAAUCUUCCCAAGAUCAUCCAAUGUUGCAGCAGAUCAUGUUGUGAUCAGAUAGACCCCCAGUCUGAAAAUUUCUGGGACUCUGUCAUCCUCCUACAAUGCUGUUAAUAUCUCAAGAGGAGAGCAGCAGGAUGUGGCUGAAUUAGGAGCAUCAUUAUUCUCCUUUGUUAUCAUCCAAAACACGUUAUCUCACCUCCCACUUGGAACUACACCUGGUUUAUCACCAGCCAAAACAAAAAGCUACUGAUGGAUGUGCACAAAAAUCGCUUUAUGGCAAUUAUUCAAUUGCAGCUGAUGACUGUUUUGUGUGUGUAUUAGCACACCUCAGUGCUUCUGUUUUUUUACAGGAGCAGGAUAUUCAGACUAGGCAGUGAAAGGGAAAGCUUGGCUCUGCAGGCAGUGCUGGUGGUGUACCCAGGUACAUGGAUGAGCACAGGACUCCAAGGAAAUGUCUUUUCCCACCCACAGCUGCUGCAGCCCAGGUGAGUGGGUGAGGUGCUGCAAGAACAUGGCUUAUCUAGGGAGCCCUCCUACAGGCCUAGGAAAUACAUAUUGAGCAGGAGGAUUAAAGCCUUUCAAAUAUGGAAUAGAUUCUGCUUUCAUAAUAUUUUUCUUUUCACCCUCCACAAGACUUGGCACAGCCUAGUGUGCUACAAAGCACCCUUUUUUCCCCUUACUCAGAACAUCUUGAAUUAAUUCUUGGCAAAACUAUCUAACUCUGUGUGUAGAUAGGAACAAACUCCAGCCAAGCUGGGUUCUCCUGCAAGGCCACUCGCCUGGCUCCCUCUGCUCCAGGACUGUGUGAGUGCACAGAUUUCCAUGGGUGCGUGUGGUACAGCAAAGGCACCGAUGUCAGGAGCCACACAUGCAGCUGGGAAAUGCAGAUGUCUAGAACUGACACAGAGAAAUGCUUUUGUAGAUCAUAAAGGCAACUGAAAAUGCCCAGCAAGAGAGUGCAGCUCAGAUCAGCAUGUGUACAGUCAGAUCUCACAGCAUGAACCUGCACAGUGAGCCCUGCACUGGCAUCUCAGCAGCUCCUCCAAAGAGAGGAGCCAUCUGGAAAUAGCUGCAGGUUUGGCCAGAUGAUCUGAACUGCCACAUCUCUGAGAAGCAUGGAAAUCCCCAAUCUGCCCAGGGGUCACAGAACACUUUCUGCUGCACCUUA